rnacentral:lncRNA from 1 species
UUUUGGUGUGUUUCUCUUCCUGCUUGCCUUCAAGGGCCGAACGGCUCUGCUACAAAGCUACUGACCGCAGGAACACACGGAGACAUUAGCAAGCAUUCCUGAGCGUUUGCUUUUAGAUUUCUCGUCUGUCGGCUGAAGUAUUAACAUUCUGCUACCCAGAGAACUUUGCAGAGUACGAUGUGGUAUGUGCCUCCCUGGUUCACUCCUGGGAAAACGACAGCCUGAACGGGGGGGGGGGGGUGAUGCGCCCUGGAUUUCCCAGUUACGUGCGUUCUGGGUCUCCAACUGCUCCUUUAAAUAACAGAUCCAUUCUCAGGCUGACUGGCCGAGUGGGAAAUAUUUUGUCCAAGCUUCCUCACACCAGGCCAUACAGGAUUUAUCACAGAGUCUUAAAAUCCAAAGACAUCCUCCCGGCCCCCUGGGGAUCUCAAUUCAGGAGCCUCAUGAAGGCAGUGAGCCUCUUGAUGACAAGCCCAGGACCACACAGCAGAUCAGCGUCCGGGCUCGGGAUCAGAAAACAAAACCCGGACCCCUGCUUUGUGCGACCUCCGCCUGAGUAUGCCCUUCUAGGUCUCGGCGCCGAGACGAAACGCCACACGGUGGAGGCCCACGUUACGUUGACUCCCAGCUCCGAAAACGACGCUGGGAAAAAAGCAGCAGCAGAGCUAAUGGCUUGGCCUCGUUCAACCCCACCAUCACCCCUUCUGGAAAGAUCCAGAAGAGUCCCCUGCAUGGCUAUUCAGAGUGCAGGUUAGAUUCUGGGGAAGACCUUGCAACCAAGAAAAUGUCCCGCCAGCAUGAGAGGCCGGAUGGUCUGAGGUCAGAGUUCAAGGUCAUAGGUUAGACAAAGGGUCAAAAUAGCAGAUUACAUUUUAUAAUCCCAGCCAAGGUUAUCAGGCUUAAAGUUUGCUUUUUCUUUUUUCUUACAGUAUGCAAAUGAGCCAGGUUUCGCUCUCCAGCUUUCUGCUAUCAAACAAAAGUCUUCCCUCAGACAUCCCCCCUCUAACCUAAAAGACCUCCAAAAUAAGUGCUGUAGACCACUACAGAGACACAGGAGAGGUACUUACAGCCAAUCAGAUCUAGAACAAAGCUCUAGGCAAAUUAGCAGAUCAAAACUAGUCCCUCAGCGUGUCCUGGGUGUUGGGCAGCCCUGGGAGGGAGGCAGACGCGGCAGGAGUUAGUUACCCAGGGCAUCCAGCGCGGAAACAACAGCAAGCACGGCCACCUGCCGAAUUCUGAACCGGAACCCCAGCCCCCAGGCCCUAAAGUCAGCGUACACACUGCACGUCUUCAGGGCUUUUCCGUGGCA